rnacentral:lncRNA from 10 species
AUAUUUGACAUGCUUUGAAGCCACUUAUAGGUGAAGAGGAGUUGGUGUGCAGGUGGUUUGACUUUGGCCAUGGAGAAAUGAAGGUUCUGGCUAUCAUGUGAUGUGUAGAGACUACGUUUAGAUAGCAUUAUGAAGCAGGCAAUUGCAACUGUUUACAUGGUACUUAAGGAGAGAGAUAAUUAGACCAAGAAGGAAUAUGGGAUUCAAGUGAAACCAAAUCAUAGACUGAGAGGAGUCACUAGGACCCUUUCUCUCAAUAAUCUCAACUGCAAAGUAUGCGGUCCACCUGGUGCACAGCUGCUGUAAAAUAGGUAAGGUGAUCUGGUAGCAUGGGAGGGUGUGAGAGAAGAAAUACUGGAGCCUGCAUAUCAAAGUAAAGGGGCUAUGAGAGACAAGAUGAAAGAAGACAUGUCUCCCUUGAGUGAGGGAUUCUCCAGGCCCCAGGAAGUCCAUCUUUGCUUCCUGUCCUUAGGUCUGUGAAUACAGGAGAUUAUUUGAUUCCUCUCAGAAAAGAAAUCUCUAUUUAUUUGAGCUAACUUUGGUAGGUUUCUAUACUUGGAAGCCCAAAUGCCAUGACUAACCGCCCAUAUUAUUUAACGUUCUAUUUUAAGAUUCAGAAAAAUUGUGUUCUAAAGAUUUUGAACAAGCAAACAUUGAAGCGGUGUCCUUGUCUAGGGUAAAUACCCGGGGUUCAUAGUCUCACACCAAGGGAAUAGAGGACGCAGACAUACAAGUGGGUUUAGGAGUGGAGGUUUACUAGGCAAAGAAAGAGAAAGGAAAAUAGUUCUCUCUCCUGUGAGAAAGAGGGGUGCUCGUAUGGGACUUCUGGCCCACAACAGAGUGCACAGCAUUUUAUAGACAGGCUUGAGGAGGCGGUGUCUGAUUUACAUAGGGCCCAAAGAUUGGUCGGACCAGGUGUGAUGUUUGCAUAGUGCAAGAGAAAGCCGGCCACCUCACCCUAAUCUUAUUAUGCAAAUUGGGUCUUUGCCUGGCCAGGGCCAUGUUGUCUCCUCCUGACUGCACAUGUGGUUGGCAAAAAAAAAAAAAAAAAAAAGGAAAGAUGGUGUUGCCAUUUUGAACAUGCCUAGUGCCAGGUAGUUUUUCCUAUUGGCACAGUUGCCAGCAUUCACCCAUGCAAGUUUACAGUUUGCUUGUCUGUGUCUGCAGCUUGAUUUUACAGGCUGCUCAUUGUUAGAAAAGAAAAUGAUUUGGGGCUGCUUUUCAUUAAAGGGAAAAAACCUUACCGAGGACUUCCUUACCCUCACUAUCUGCCUAAAUAAUUUCUUUUUCAUUCCUAUAUAUCAUUCUACUUUAGGGAAUAUUUCAUAUUAAAAUUUUAACUCUAAAUUAAGGACUCAUUUUGUAAUUUUCACAAGUAAAUCUCAUAACCC